ensembl:lncRNA
GGGAUUUUUGCCAACAAAAUACACGGGAUUGAUCUGGGUAAAAGCUGUCUUAACUUACAAGCCCCAGAGUUGUUGAUUUAUCAUUGUGAAUGAGAAAUUCAGGUAGCGGUAAUACCACAAGACCUUUGUGUUUCUGAAUCAGGAGAAUGUUGCUCAAUUUUUGCUUGUUCCCUGCAAAUUGUAUCCUUCUCUGCAUAAGAAGCAGCGAGGUGGUCAGGGAAUCUGAAAGUCAAAGUAGGUGAGAGAUUCAUCUAUCACAACACAUAGCAUCUAGUGGACUCACCUGUACAGUACCCAUUGGAAGUUUAAGGAUUGCUUUUUGCUAUACUGUUGUACUGGAAGGAUAAGCCUCGGAUUUGCUUUCUCUGUGUCUUCUGUUAAUCAGAAAGAAUCUGCUUCUCGUGAUCAGUGGAAAGUUUUACCCCACGGCAAUUAACCAAAGAGGCAGAAGCUGAGUUACAAAAGCUCCAGCAAUAGGCAUGCCUCCUGGCUACAGCAAAAAAAGAAAAAAGAAAAAAGAAAAAAAAAAAAAAAACAUUUGAUUCUGUUCAGUAGAUAUGUUAAUUGUCUGCAAUUGGUGGGUUCUUGGUCUUGCUAGCUUCAGGAAUGAAGCUGUGGAUCCUCACAGUCAGCAUUACAAUUCUUAAAGAUGGUGUGGCUGCAGUUCCUUCCUUCCGGUGGGUUCGUGGUCUCACUGACUUUGGGAGUAAAGCUGCAGACCUUCAUGGUGUGUCACACCUCUUAAAGGCGGUGCAUGUGGAGUUGUUUAUUCCUUCCCGUAGGUUCAUGGUCUCGCAGCCUUCAAAAGUGAAGCCGCACACCUUCGCGGCUGGAAUGAAGUUGAUCAUAGUUUAUUCAGCCUCAACCUCUGGGUCUCAAGGAAUCAUCUUACCACAGCCUUCAACUAACUGGGACUACAGAUGCGCACCACCAUACCAUGUGACAAUAUUGGUAAAGUUUUCCAUAGUAAGAGAAAGACACUUUAAAAUAUGUCCAGUUCAUAAUUAAACUGGCUAUUUAAAAUAAAUCUUUGUUACUUUUUUUGCAGAGCUUAGAAACAAAACUCUUUAUCUUUCAAUAUAUUAUACCCUAAAAUAUGUUUCAGUUUAUGAUAGAGAUUUGAUUCUCAUUAGUAAAAAAAAAAAAAAAAAAUCCUUAAAGAAAGAUUGAACAUAAAGAAAACAUUUUUACAGGCAAACAAAAAGCAUGUUGAUAUGUGUACCUAAAAUUAGAGAUAAUUGUAUUUAAAAAUAUUAACAUUAGGCUACAUAGAAAGCUUACUCAUCAUUCUCUUGACAUCAUAAUAAUGGUUUAUUGUGGUUAAAUAUUGUGAUCAGUUCUACUUAGAUAUGGUCAUGAGCACUUUUUACAAUGCAAAUAACUGGUAUUUUGAAGUUCCUGGGUUGUGAUAGAGCUGUGUAGUCUAUUCUUUACUAAUUUGACACAAUGAAGUAAUCAGCCCAGAACAAUAAACUAUGUAAUUAAUCUCAUAAAGCCAACAGUUUUAUGUAAAUGCUAGUGAUUUAUUUCUUUGCAUAUUUGAAAGUUUAAUUUCCAUUUCUGCUCUGAAAAUAAUUUUGAAAUAAGUUAAUAUAUUAAAAUAUAUAUC